ensembl:lncRNA
UUGUAAAAUGAUGUCUUUAUCAUCACUUUUGUUCAAUUUAAAGAAUCUUUUCUAAAUAAAAGUAUUCAUAUCUACAAUUUAAAAAAAAGACAAAAAAAUAGACUCUAAGCUUUUGAAUGGUAUAGGGUAUAAUGUUGCGAAAGCUUUUUGUUUCACAUAAAUGCUGAUUUUUGGAUCCUUCUAUUCAUCAAACACUGAAAAAUGUAGUCAUCUGUUUUAAAUAUUGAUCAUCAUAUUAGACUGAUUUCUGAAGGAUGUGACACUGAAGACUGGAGUAAUGAUGCUGUAAAUUCAGCUUUGAUCACAGAAAUAAAUUACGUUUUACAAUGUAUUCAUAUAGAAAACCGUUAUUUUGAAUAGUAAAAAAUGUCACAAUUGCUUUUGCUGUACUUUGGAUCAAAUAAAUAUAGGAUUGGUUAGCAGAAGAGACUUCUUUAAAAACAUAAAAAAUCUUAUAUUAAAAAAACUGUAGACUUGUAGGCUAUAUUAAUUACAGAAAUGUUAUAUUGUAUUGAUUUAUAUUAUAUUGUAGUGUGCGUAUAUGUGUGUGUGUGUGUGUAUAUAUAUUAAUAAUUUUUUUAUUUAUUUAUUUUUUUUUGGACACAUGUCCUGAGCUCUCAUCAGCGUUGCCCACUUGCACCAACUCAUCACUGGCUGAGCGGCCACACCUGCGCCCCAUCAAGCGCUGGUCACUUAAACCCCGCAAGUGAACACAGAGGCAUAGAGUAUAGAAGCCCAAGAGGCGAAACUCUGUUGUUUUAUGGGUAACAGUCUGUAGAUGGCGCUGCGGAGGCGCGGCCGUCAUUAUGGACUGAAAGCUGCUGAAAUCGUUACACAACCAAACUGUGAAGCAGAUGAGCAAGUGGUCAAAACGCAAGCAGUGUUCUGCAAUAAAUUGCAAAAAUGUACCAGUCCACCAGAAGCGAUUUGCCAUUUAAUCGAUUUACAAAGGAUGCACAAAGGUGUGCCAGGUGGGUCCAAAAUCUAAGGAAUGCAUCCCUUCAUGGCAUACCUUUGGAUCAGCUGCAUCGGCCCUACAGGGCGUGCAGUGCCCAUUUCCACAGCAGCCAGUUCAAAAGACCAUCUGAUGAGCAGAGUUCUUUUUUGUUCUUGUGUGCAUUUGCUAGAUUAUACACAUAUUUUGACUAAUGCUUCCAUUCUAUGUUAAUGCUUCUUCUCACACAAAAAGAAAACAAAUACAAACUUCUCAUACACAAAUACACACACAAUAGAUGGUGGUGUCUGAUUAAUAACGGAGAUCUUAUGGCACCACUUCCAUUUUAAUACUGUUUAUAGUUCAUGUGUGCACUUGCUAGAUUGCACAUCUUUUUUUUGUACGUCUGUAAUAGGACAUUCACAGAUGUGUGUGCACUUUCACUGAAGAUGUUGAAAAACAAGUUGUUAAUAUUUUUGUGAAAUUCUAUGUAAAAGAUGAACUGUCUUUAGAAAUGCUCAUUUUAUAAUUUUAUUUAUUUUUCCAAAUCAAGUAUAUGGUGAUGUUCACUAAUGUCAAAAUCAACAUUUGAAUAAAUCUUAUUACUGUGUGUCUUCC